rnacentral:rRNA from 1 species
UACGGAGGGUGCAAGCGUUGUCCGGAAUCACUGGGCGUAAAGGGCGCGUAGGCGGCUCAUGAAGGCUGUGGUGAAAGUCCGGGGCUCAACCUCGGAUCGGCCGUGGCGACUCGUGGGCUGGAGCACUGUAGAGGCGGGUGGAAUUCCGGGUGUAGCGGUGGAAUGCGUAGAGAUCCGGAAGAACACCAGUGGCGAAGGCGGCCCGCUGGGCAGUGGCU